ensembl:lncRNA
GAUGUCCUGCUUGCAAGUUUGUAUCCCGGGCCUGGCUUUUCUGAACUUCCCUGGAUGCUUAUUAUCAUUGCUGUCUCCCUGGGAAUUUGUAAAAGAUUUCAAAACAUUUCCUUCUCUGCCUUGCAGGUCAACAUGGCUGAAGAGGAACCUCGUCCUCUGCCACAAUGGCCCAACCUACCCUACUUCAUGGCUGGCCCUUCCAGACCAUUGAUGGGUGGCCAGGCACCUCCUCCACCUCGGGGUCCUCUGGGACCUCGAUCACUCUCUGCAACUGAAGGUUCUCUAGAAGCUCUGAUACCUCCUCCACUGGAACAUCCUCUGGAGCCUGAAACACCUUCUCCAGCUGAAGGUUUCCUGAGAUCUCAGACAGCUCACACAAGUGAGAUUCUGAAGGAACCUCAGCAACAUACUCCAGUCGAGUGUCCCCUGGAAAGGCAAUUACCUCGUAACCUUGAGUAUCCUCUGGAACUUAAACAAUCUCCUAUACUACAGUGUCCACUGGAACCUCAACUACCGCUUGAAAGUGAGCAUCCCCUGGGAGAUCAACAACCUCCUAUAAUACAGUAUCCACUGGGACCCCAACCACCUCCUGAAUGUGAGGGUCCCCUGGAAGUCCAACAUUCUGCAAUACUACAAUGUCCACUGGGACAUCAACCACCUCGUGAACUUGAGUGUUCACCAGAACCACAACCAUUUUUAUCUGAGAAUUCUACGGGACCUCAGACACUACCGAUACCCGAGUGUCUUCUGGAGGCUGAAGCACCUUGUCCAACUGAAGCAUUGCUGCCACCCCUGGUACCUUGUCUAAUAGAAAGUUUUCUUGGACCUGAACCACCAACUCCAGCUGACUGUUUGGUAGGAAUUCUAACAUACCUACUGACCUGUCCUCCAGAACCUCUACCACCUCCUGAAGGUGACGAUUUUCUGGAACGUGAGUCACAGCCUCCACUCGGGUUUCCACUGGGACCUCAACAACCUCCAGAAGAAGGUUAUGUGGAACCUCCAUCACCUCGUGUACUCGAGUGUUUGCUGGGCCCUCAAACAGGUCCUGCAGUGGAGUGCCCACUGGAAUAUCAACCACCUCCAGAACGUGAGUGUCCCCUGGAAGAUCAACAACAUCCUAUAAUACAGUAUCCACAGGGACCUCAAACACCUCUUGAACGUGAGUGUCUCCUGGAAGAUCAACAACCACCUAUACUACAAUGUCAACCGGGACCUCAACCACCUUUUGAACAUGAGUUUCCCCAGGAAGUCCAACAACCUCCAAUACUACAGUGUCCACUGAGACAUCAACCAUCUCCAGAAGUUAAGUGUCCCCUAGAAGAUCGACAAGGACCUAUAAUACAAUGUCAACCGGGACCUCAACCACCUCUAGAACAUGAGUGUCCCCAGGAAGUCCAACAACCUCCAAUCCUGCAGUGCCCACUGGGACAUCAACCAUUUCCAGAACGUGAGUGUCCCCGGGAAGAUCAACAAUAUUGUAUAAUUCAAUGUGAACUGGGACCUCAACCACCUCUAGAACAUGAGUGUCCCCAGGAAGUUCAACAAUUUCCAAUACUACAGUGCCCACUGGGACAUCAACUGUCUCCAGAAUGUGAGAGUCCCCUGGAAGAUCGACAACAUCCUGUAAUUCAAUGUGAACUAGGACCUCAACCACCUCUAGAACAUAAGUGUCCCCAGGAAGUCCAACAACCUCCAAUACUGCAGUGCCCACUGGGACAUCAACCAUCUCCAGAAAGUGAGUGUCCCCUGGAAGAUCGACAACAUCCUAUAAUUCAGUGUGAACUGGGACCUCAACCACCUCGUGAACUUGAGUGUUCACCAGAACCACAACCAUUUUUAUCUGAGAAUUCUCCGGGACCUCAGACACUACCGAUACUUGAGUGUCCUCUGGAUGCUGAAGCACCUUGUCCAACUGAAGCAUUGCUGCCACCCCUGGUACCUUGUCUAAUAGAGUGCUUUCUGGGACCCGAACGACCAACUCCAGCUGAUUGUUUGGUAGGAAUCCUAACAUAUCUACUGACCUGUCCUCCAGAACCUCUACCACCUCCUGAAGGUGACGAUUUUCUGGAACGUGAGUCACAGCCUCCACUCGGGUUUCCACUGGGACCUCAAGCACCUCCAGAAGAAGGGUAUGUGGAACCUCCAUCACUUCGUGUACUCGAGUGUUUGCUGGGCCCUCAAAUAGGUCCUGUAGUGCAGGGCCCACUGGAAUAUCAACCACCUCCAGAACGUGAGUGUCCCCUGGAAGAUCGACAACCUCCUAUAAUUCAGUGUGAACUGGGACCUCAAACACCUCUUGAACAUGAGUUUCCCCAGGAAGUCCAACAACCUCCAAUAACACAGUGCCCACUGGGACAACAACCAUCUCCAGAACGUGAGUGUCCCAUGAAAGUUCAACAACCUCCUAUAAUGCAGUAUCCACAGGGACCUCAACCACCUCUUAAACGUGAGUGUCCCCUGAAAGAUCAACAAUCACCUAUACUACACUGUCAACCGGGACCUCAGCCACCUCUUGAAUGUGAGUGUCUCCUGGAAGAUCAACAACCACCUAUACUACAAUGUCAACCGGGACCCCAACCACCUUUUGAACAUGAGUUUCCCCAGGAAGUCCAACAACCUCCAAUACUACAGUGCCCACUGAGACAUCAACCAUCUCCAGAACUUAAGUGUCCCCUGGAAGAUCGACAACCACCUAUACUACAAUGUCAACCGGGACCUCAACCACCUCUAGAACAUGAGUGUCCCCAGGAAGUCCAACAACCUCCAAUCCUGCAGUGCCCACUGGGACAUCAACCAUUUCCAGAAUGUGAGUGUCCCCAGGAAGAUCAACAACAUUGUAUAAUUCAAUGUGAACUGGGAUCUCAACCACCUCUAGAACAUGAGUGUCCCCAGGAAGUUCAACAAUUUCCAAUACUACAGUGCCCACUGGGACAUCAACCAUCUCCAGAAUGUGAGAGUCCCCUGGAAGAUCGACAACAUCCUGUAAUUCAAUGUGAACUAGGACCUCAACCACCUCUAGAACAUGAGUGUCCCCAGGAAGUCCAACAACCUCCAAUACUGCAGUGCCCACUGGAACAUCAACCAUCUCCAGAAAGUGAGUGUCCCCUGGAAGAUCGACAACAUCCUAUAAUUCAGUGUGAACUGGGACCUCAACCACGUCAUGAACUUGAGUGUUCACCAGAACCACAACCAUUUUUAUCUGAGAAUGCUCCGGGACUUCAGACACUACCGAUACUUGAGUGUCCUCUGGAUGCUGAAGCACCUUGUCCAACUGAAGCAUUGCUGCCACCCCUGGUACCUUGUCUAAUAGAGUGCUUUCUGGGACCCGAACGACCAACUCCAGCUGAUUGUUUGGUAGGAAUCCUAACAUAUCUACUGACCUGUCCUCCAGAACCUCUACCACCUCCUGAAGGUGACGAUUUUCUGGAACGUGAGUCACAGCCUCCACUCGGGUUUCCACUGGGACCUCAAGCACCUCCAGAAGAAGGUUAUGUGGAACCUCCAUCACUUCGUGUACUCGAGUGUUUGCUGGGCCCUCAAAUAGGUCCUGUAGUGCAGGGCCCACUGGAAUAUCAACCACCUCCAGAACGUGAGUGUCCCCUGGAAGAUCGACAACCUCCUAUAAUUCAGUGUGAACUGGCACCUCAAACACCUCUUGAACAUGAGUGUCUCCUGGAAGAUCAACAACCACCUAUACUACAAUGUCAACCGGGACCUCAACCACCUUUUGAACAUGAGUUUCCCCAGGAAGUCAAACAACCUCCAAUAACACAGUGCCCACUGGGACAACAACCAUCUCCAGAACGUGAGUGUCCCAUGAAAGUUCAACAACCUCCUAUAAUGCAGUAUCCACAGGGACCUCAACCACCUCUUAAACGUGAGUGUCCCCUGAAAGAUCAACAAUCACCUAUACUACACUGUCAACCGGGACCUCAGCCACCUCUUGAAUGUGAGUGUCUCCUGGAAGAUCAACAACCACCUAUACUACAAUGUCAACCGGGACCUCAACCACCUUUUGAACAUGAGUUUCCCCAGGAAGUCCAACAACCUCCAAUACUACGGUGCCCACUGAGACAUCAACCAUCUCCAGAACUUCAGUGUCCCCUGGAAGAUCGACAACCACCUAUACUACAAUGUCAACCGGGACCUCAACCACCUCUAGAACAUGAGUGUCCCCAGGAAGUCCAACAACCUCCAAUCCUGCAGUGCCCACUGGGACAUCAACCAUUUCCAGAAUGUGAGUGUCCCCAGGAAGAUCAACAACAUUGUAUAAUUCAAUGUGAACUGGGACCUCAACCACCUCUAGAACAUGAGUGUCCCCAGGAAGUUCAACAAUUUCCAAUACUACAAUGCCCACUGGGACAUCAACCAUCUCCAGAAUGUGAGAGUCCCCUGGAAGAUCGACAACAUCCUGUAAUUCAAUGUGAACUAGGACCUCAACCACCUCUAGAACAUGAGUGUCCCCAGGAAGUCCAACAACCUCCAAUACUGCAGUGCCCACUGGAACAUCAACCAUCUCCAGAAAGUGAGUGUCCCCUGGACGAUCGACAACAUCCUAUAAUUCAGUGUGAACUGGGACCUCAACCACCUCGUGAACUUGAGUGUUCACCAGAACCACAACCAUUUUUAUCUGAGAAUUCUCCGGGACCUCAGACACUACCGAUACUUGAGUGCCCUCUGGAUGCUGAAGCACCUUGUCCAACUGAAGCAUUGCUGCCACCCCUGGUACCUUGUCUAAUAGAGUGCUUUCUGGGACCCGAACGACCAACUCCAGCUGAUUGUUUGGUAGGAAUCCUAACAUAUCUACUGACCUGUCCUCCAGAACCUCUACCACCUCCUGAAGGUGACGAUUUCCUGGAACGUGAGUCACAGCCUCCACUCGGGUUUCCACUGGGACCUCAAGCACCUCCAGAAGAAGGUUAUGUGGAACCUCCAUCACCUCGUGUACUUGAGUGUUUGCUGGGCCCUCAAACAGGUCCUGCAGUGGAGUGCCCACUGGAAUAUCAACCACCUCCAGAACGAGAGUGUCCCCUGGAAGAUCGACAACCUCCUAUAAUUCAGUGUGAACUGGGACCUCAACCACCUCUAGAACGUGAGUGUCCCCAGGAAGUCCAACAACCUACAAUACUACAGGGCCCACGGGGACAUCAACCAUUUCCAGAACAUGAGUGUCCCAUGGAAGUUCAACAACCUUCUAUAAUACAGUAUUUACAGGGACAUCAACCACCUCUUAAACAUGAGUGUCCCCUGGAAGAUCAACAAUCACCUAUACUACAAUUUCAACCGGGACCUCAACCACCUCUUGAAUGUGAGUGUCCCCAGGAAGUCCAACAACCUCCAAUACUACAGUGCCCACUGAGACAUCAACCAUCACCAGAACGUGAGUAUCCUGUGGAAGUUCAACAACCUCCUAUAAUACAGUAUCCACAGGGACCACAAACACCUCUUGAAUGUGAGUGUCCCCAGGAAGUCCAACAACCUCCAAUACUACAGUGCCCACUGGGACAUCAACCAUCUCCAGAACGUGAGUGUCCCCUGGAAGAUCGACAACCUCCUAUAAUUCAGUGUGAACUGGGACCUCAAACACCUCUUGAACGUGAGUGUCUCCUGGAAGAUCAACAACCACCUAUACUACAAUGUCAAACGGGACCUCAACCACCUUUUGAACAUGAGUUUCCCCAGGAAGUCCAACAACCUCCAAUACUACAGUGCCCACUGAGACAUCAACCACCUCCAGAACUUAAGUGUCCCCUGGAAAAUCGACAACCACCUAUAAUACAAUGUCAAGCGGGACCUCAACCACCUCUAGAACAUGAGUGUCCCCAGGAAGUCCAACAGCCUCCAAUCCUGCAGUGCCCACUGGGACAUCAACCAUUUCUAGAACAUGAGUGUCCCCGGGAAGAUCAACAACAUCGUAAAAUUCAAUGUGAACUGGGACCUCGACCACCUCUAGAACAUGAGUGUCCCCAGGAAAUCCAAGAACCUCCAAUACUGCAGUGCCCACUGGAACAUCAGCCAUCUCCAGAACGUGAGUGUCCCUUGGAAGAUCGACAACAUCCUAUAAUUCAGUGUGAACUGGGACCUCAACCACCUCGUGAACUUGAGUGCUCACCAGAACCACAACCAUUUUUAUCUGGUAAUUCUCCGGGACCUCAGACACUACCGAUACUUGAGUGUCCUCUGGAAGCUGAAGCAUCUUGUCCAACUGAAGCAUUGCUGCCACCCCUGGUACCUUGUCUAAUAGAGUGCUUUCUGGGACCCGAACGACCAACUCCAGCUGAUUGUUUGGUAGGAAUCCUAACAUAUCUACUGACCUGUCCUCCAGAACCUCUACCACCUCCUGAAGGUGAUGAUUUUCUGGAACAUGAGUCACAGCCUCCACUCGAGUUUCCAUUGGGACCUCAAGCACCUCCAGAAGAAGGUUAUGUGGAACCUCCAUCACCUCGUGUACUCGAGUGUUUGCUGGGCCCUGAAACUUGUCCUGUAGUGGAGUGCCCACUGGAAUAUCAACCACCUCCAGAAUGUGAGUGUCCCCUGGAAGAUCGACAACCACCUAUACUACAAUGUCAAUUGGGACCUCAACCACCUCUAGAACGUGAGUGUCCCCAGGAAGUCCAACAACCUCCAAUACUACAGUGCCCACUCGGACAUCAACCAACUCCAGAUUGUGAGUGUCCCCUGGAAGAUCGACAAUAUCUUAUAAUUCAGUGUGAACUGGGACCUCAACCACCUCUAGAAUGUGAGUGUCCCCGGGAAGUCCAACAACCUCCACUACUACAGGACCCACUGGGACAUCAACCAUCUCCGGAACGUAAGUGUCCCGUGGAAGAUCGACAACCACCUAUAAUACAAUGUCAACCGGGACCUCCACCACCUCUUGAACGUAAGUGUCUCCUGGAAGAUCAACAACCACCUAUACUACAAUGUGAACCGGGACCUCAACCACCUCUUGAACAUGAGUGUCCCCAGGAAGUCCAACAACCUCCAAUCCUGCAGUGCCCACUUGGGCAUCAACCAUUUCCAGAACGUGAGUGUCCCCGGGAAGAUCGACAACAUCGUAUAAUUCAAUGUGAACUGGGACCUCAACCACCUCUAGAACAUGAGUGUCCCCAGGAAGUUCAACAACUUCCACUACUACAGUGCCCACUUGGACAUCAACCAUCUCAAGAAUGUGAGUGUCCCCUGGAAGAUCAACAGCAUCCUAUAAUUCAGUGUGAACUGGGACCUCAACCACCUCAUGAACUUGAGUGUUCACCAGAACCACAACCAUUUUUAUCUGAGAACUCUCCGGGACCUCAGACACUACCGAUACUUGAGUGUCCUCUGGAAGCUGAAGCACCUUGUCCAACUGAAGCAUUGCUGCCACCCCUAGUACCUUGUCUAAUACAGUGCUUUCUAGGAUCCGAACGACCAACUCCAGCUGAUUGUUUAACAUAUCUACUGACCUGUCCUCCAGAACCUCUACCACCUCCUGAAGGUGACGAUUUUCUGGAACGUGAGUCACCGCCUCCACUCGGAUUUCCACUGGGACCUCAAGCACCUCCAGAAGAAGUUUAUGUGGAACCUCCAUCACCUCAUUUACUCGAGUGUUUGCUGGGCCCUCAAACAGGUCCUGUAGUGCAGGGCCCACUGGAAUAUCAACCACCUCCAGAACGUGAGUGUCCCCUGGAAGAUCGACAACAUCCUAUAAUUCAGUGUAAACUGGGACCUCAACCACCUCUAGAACGUGAGUGUCCCCAGGAAGUCCAACAACCUACAAUACUACAGGGCCCACGGGGACAUCAACCAUUUCCAGAACAUGAGUGUCCCAUGGAAGUUCAACAACCUUCUAUAAUACAGUAUUUACAGGGACAUCAACCACCUCUUAAACAUGAGUGUCCCCUGGAAGAUCAACAAUCACCUAUACUACAAUGUCAACCGGGACCUCAACCACCUCUUGAAUGUGAGUGUCCCCAGGAAGUCCAACAACCUCCAAUACUACAGUGCCCACUGGGACAUCAACCAUCUCCAGAAGUUAAGUGUCCCCUGGAAGAUCGACAACCACCUAUAAUACAAUGUCAACCGGGACCUCAACCACCUCUAGAACAUAAGUGUCCCCAGGAAGUCCAACAGCCUCCAAUCCUGCAUUGCCCACUGGCACAUCAACCAUUUCCAGAACAUGAGUGUCCCCGGGAAGAUCAACAUCAUCGUAUAAUUCAAUGUGAACUGGGACCUCGACCACCUCUAGAACAUGAGUGUCCCCAGGAAAUCCAAGAACCUCCAACACUGCAGUGCCCACUGGAACAUCAGCCAUCUCCAGAACGUGAGUGUCCCCUGGAAGAUCGACAACAUCCUAUAAUUCAGUGUGAACUGGGACCUCAACCACCUCGUGAACUUGAGUGUUCACCAGAACCACAACCAUUUUUAUCUGAGAAUUCUCCGGGACCUCAGACACUACCGAUACUUGAGUGUCCUCUGGAAGCUGAAGCACCUUGUCCAACUGAAGCAUUGCUGCCACCCCUGGUACCUUGUCUAAUAGAGUGCUUUCUGGGACCCGAACGACCAACUCCAGCUGAUUGUUUGGUAGGAAUCCUAACAUAUCUACUGACCUGUCCUCCAGAACCUCUACCACCUCCUGAAGGUGACGAUUUUCUGGAAUGUGAGUCACAGCCUCCUCUCGGGUUUCCAUUGGGACCUCAAGCACCUCCAGAAGAAGGUUAUGUGGAACCUCCAUCACCUCGUGUACUCGAGUGUUUGCUGGGUCCUCAAACAGGUCCUGUAGUGGAGUACCCACUGGAAUAUCAACCACCUCCAGAACGUGAGUGUCCCCUGGAAGAUAGACAACAUCCUAUAACUCAGUGUGAACUGAGACCUCAACCACCUCCAGAACGUGAGUGUCCCCUUGAAGAUCAACAACAUCCUAUAAUUCAGUGUAAACUGGGACCUCAACCACCUCUAGAACGUGAGUGUCCCCUGGAAGAUCAACAAUCACCUAUACUACGAUGUCAACCGGGACCUCAGCCACCUCUUGAACAUGAGUGUCCCCAGGAAGUCCAACAUCCUUUAAUAUUACAGUGCCCCCUGGGACAUCAACCAUCACCACAACGUGAGUGUCCUUUGGAAGUUCAACAACCUCCUAUAAUACAGUAUCCACAGGGACCUCAAACACCUCUUGAACGUGAGUGUCUCCUGGAAGAUCAACAACCACCUAUACUACAAUGUCAAUUGGGACCUCAACCACCUCUAGAACGUGAGUGUCCCCAGGAAGUCCAAGAACCUCCAAUACUACAGUGCCCACUCGGACAUCAACCAACUCCAGAUUGUGAGUGUCCCCUGGAAGAUCGACAACAUCUUAUAAUUCAGUGUGAACUGGGACCUCAAACACCUCUAGAACGUGAGUGUCCCCGGGAAGUCCAACAACCUCCACUACUACAGGACCCACUGGGACAUCAACCAUCUCCGGAACGUAAGUGUCCCCUGGAAGAUCGACAACCACCUAUAAUACAAUGUCAACCGGGACCUCAACCACCUCGUGAACGUAAGUGUCUCCUGGAAGACCAACAACCACCUAUACUACAAUGUGAACCGGGACCUCAACCACCUCUUGAACAUGAGUGUCCCCAGGAAGUACAACAACCUCCAAUCCUGCAGUGCCCACUGGGACAUCAACCAUCUCCAGAAUGUGAGUGUCCCCUGGAUGAUCGACAACAUCCUGUAAUUCAAUGUGAACUAGGACCUCAACCACCUCUAGAACAUGAGUGUCCCCAGGAAGUCCAACAACCUCCAAUACUGCAGUGCCCACUGGGACAUCAAGCAUCUCCAGAACCUGAGAGUCCCCUGGAAGAACGACAACAUCGUAUAAUUCAGUAUGAACUGGGACCUCAGCCACCUCUAGAACAUGAGUGUCCCCAGGAAGUACAACCACCUCCAAUACUACAGUGCCCACUGGGACAUCAACCAUCUUCAGAACGUGAGUGUCCCCUGGAAGAUCAACAGCAUCCUAUAAUUCAGUGUGAACUGGGACCUCAACCACCUCGUGAACUUGAGUGUUCACCAGAACCACAACCAUUUUUAUCUGAAAACUCUCCGGGACCUCAGACACUACCGAUACUUGAGUGUCCUCUGGAAGCUGAAGCACCUUGUCCAACUGAAGCAUUGCUGCCACCCCUGGUACCUUGUCUAAUAGAGUGCUUUCUGGGACCAGAACGACCAACUCCAGCUGACUGUUUGGUAGGAAUUCUAACAUAUCUACUGACCUGUCCUCCAGAACCUCUACCACCUCCUGAAGGUGACGAUUUUCUGGAAUGUGAGUCACAGCCUCCACUCGGAUUUCCACUGGGACCUCAAGCACCUCCAGAAGAAGGUUAUGUGGAACCUCCAUCACCUCGUGUACUCGAGUGUUUGCUGGGCCCUCAAACAGGUCCUGUAGUGCAGGGCCCACUGGAAUAUCAGCCACCUCCAGAACGUGAGUGUCCCCUGGAAGAUCGACAACCUCCUAUAAUUCAGUGUGAACUGGGACCUCAACCACCUCUAGAACUUGAGUGUCCCCAGGAAGUCCAACAACCUACAAUACUACAGGGCCCACGGGAACAUCAACCAUUUCCAGAACAUGAGUGUCCCAUGGAAGUUCAACAACCUUCUAUAAUACAGUAUUUACAGGGACAUCAACCACCUCUUAAACAUGAGUGUCCCCUGGAAGAUCAACAAUCACCUAUACUACAAUGUCAACCGGGACCUCAACCACCUCUUGAAUGUGAGUGUCCCCAGGAAGUCCAACAACCUCCAAUACUACAGUGCCCACUGGGACAUCAACCAUCUCCAGAACAUGAGUGUCCCCUGGAAGAUCGACAACCUCCUAUAAUUCAGUGUGAACUGGGACCUCAAACACCUCUUGAACGUGAGUGUUUCCUGGAAGAUCAACAACCACCUAUACUACAAUGUCAACCAGGACCUCAACCACCUUUUGAACAUGAGUUUCCCCAGGAAGUCCAACAACCUCCAAUACUACAGUGCCCACUGAGACAUCAACCAUCUCCAGAACUUAAGUGUCCCCUGGAAGAUCGACAACCACCUAUAAUACAAUGUCAACCGGGACCUCAACCACCUCUAGAACAUAAGUGUCCCCAGGAAGUCCAACAGCCUCCAAUCCUGCAGUGCCCACUGGGACAUCAACCAUUUCUAGAACAUGAGUGUCCCCGGGAAGAUCAACAACAUCGUAUAAUUCAGUGUGAACUGGGACCUCGACCACCUCUAGAACAUGAGUGUCCCCAGGAAAUCCAAGAACCUCCAACACUGCAGUGCCCACUGGAACAUCAGCCAUCUCCAGAACGUGAGUGUCCCCUGGAAGAUCGACAACAUCCUAUAAUUCAGUGUGAACUGGGACCUCAACCACCUCGUGAACUUGAGUGCUCACCAGAACCACAACCAUUUUUAUCUGGUAAUUCUCCGGGACCUCAGACACUACCGUUACUUGAGUGUCCUCUGGAAGCUGAAGCACCUUGUCCAACUGAAGCAUUGCUGCCACCCCUGGUACCUUGUCUAAUAGAGUGCUUUCUGGGACCCGAACGACCAACUCCAGCUGAUUGUUUGGUAGGAAUUCUAACAUAUCUACUGACCUGUCCUCCAGAACCUCUACCACCUCCUGAAGGUGACGAUUUUCUGGAACGUGAGUCACAGCCUCCACUCGGGUUUCCACAGGGACCUCAAGCACCUCCAGAAGGUUAUGUGGAACCUCCAUCACCUCGUGUACUCGAGUGUUUGCUGGGCCCUCAAACAGGUCCUGUAGUGCAGGGCCCACUGGAAUAUCAACCACCUCCAGAACAUGAGUGUCCCCAGGAAUUCCAACAACCUCCAAUACUACAGUGCCCACUCGGACAUCAACCAACUCCAGAUUGUGAGUGUCCCCUGGAAGAUCGACAACAUCCUAUAAUUCAGUGUAAACUGGGACCUCAACCACCUCUAGAACGUGAGUGUCCCCUGGAAGAUCAACAAUCACCUAUACUACAAUGUCAACCGGGACCUCAGCCACCUCUUGAACAUGAGUGUCCCCAGGAAGUCCAACAUCCUUUAAUAUUACAGUGCCCCCUGGGACAUCAACCAUCACCACAACGUGAGUGUCCUUUGGAAGUUCAACAACCUCCUAUAAUACAGUAUCCACAGGGACCUCAAACACCUCUUGAACGUGAGUGUCUCCUGGAAGAUCAACAACCACCUAUACUACAAUGUCAAUUGGGACUUCAACCACCUCUAGAACGUGAGUGUCCCCAGGAAGUCCAACAACCUCUUAUACGACAGUGUCCAGUGGGACCUCAAGCACCUCCUGAAGGUGAGUGUGCCCUGGAAGUUCAACAACAUGUUAUACUACAGUGCCCACUGGGACCCUCAAUCAUCACCUGAAUGUGAGUAUCUCCUGGAACUUCGACAACCUUCUUAAGCUGUCCCUUUUCUGGGUCUUCGUGCUCGUCUUGCAGGUGUCUGCUGUGUAGCCCUUCAGCUACUGUAGCUUUUGUCCCUCACGAUCUCAUUUUCCACUUGCAGGUGUCUGUCCCUCGGGACCUUUUUAGGGGCCAAAGAAACUAAUAAUGAGAAUGUGCCAGGUUCAGUGGAGCUCUGGCAUUGGCCUUUAAAGCGAGGCCACCUUUGGCAGGGAAAUCAAGGCCCAUCUUGGGCUGCUGUGGCAUCAUCUCAUCCCCAGCACCCUCUCCUUCCCACCCGUGACUCCCAGCUUUCCAUCUUCCAAGCUUGGCAUGCAAAGUAUUCCCCCUUCCCUGUGUCUCUGCUGCCUGAGUCCGGUCACCACCUCUCAGUGGGACUCAGAGCCCCAGCUUCCUAAUAAAUGAGCUGAGAAGUAUGUGCUUAUGAGGUCAUUUUGAGGACUAAGAGAUGAAGCCUAUGAAGAAAGCAUCUUGCAAAAUAGCUGCCAGGUGUUAGACCCUCCCUCUUCUGGUUGGUUAAAUGAAAAUAUUCCCACUCAGAAGAUCAGCAAAAGAUUCCCUGAAGUUCAUUCAAUAAACAUUGGGUUGUAAAAGCUCAGGCCUGUGAUUUCCAAUCUCUGUUACAAAAGAUAGGGGAAAGUACUUGUCUCCAAGAUUAAAAUUCAGGUCCUUAUGGGAUGAAGAGAUCAGAGGAAUGCAUACACAGUUAACCUCUGAGAUCUGUAUCUGUGAUCUGUAGGUAAUUAUUCUCCAUGACAUGCCAGACACAGAUGCAGCCACUCAUAGAAGUAUUCAGCAGGGGUAGAGUUAUUUCAUAGCAGACAAAAUAUACAUUGGGGGGAAACAAAAAAGGAUCACCUGGAAAUAACCCAAAAUCUUUUUAUCUUACAGGAUAAUUUCAAAAUUAGAAGACUCUCCUGAGCCGUGAUAUCUUUGCAAAGUUUCCAACAUGUUUUACACUCCAUGCUGGUGCUGUCUCCUCCCCCUGUCAUUUCCAUAAUGUCUCCCUUAAUAAACAUUUGCAGUCCUAUCUGUCUGGGCAUCUGCUUCCUGGAGGACCAGCUCACACCCCAGGGCGUACCAGGUGUGACUCCUCAUAUGCUAUUCUAACCCACAGAGGGUUAGCCU